GAUUUGGAACUCAAAAAAUCAUGAUUUUUGGUAAGGGUGUAGAGUUUCUGCUUUCGCUCAAGCGCACACGAAUGAAUGAGCGCCACAAAAAGUCACUCACAUGCUCAAUUGACACUCUCCCGAAAUUCAUUCGAGUAUCACUAGCUUGUUUGACAUUUGAUCGGAAUUCGAUCAAAUUUGCAAUGACAGCUAUCAUUCGAUCGCUCUUUUUCUCUAUCACUGACUCAAGGCUGUUUAUCAAGGUAUCAGGUAGAAAGCCAUGUCACUGACUGUUGUUGCUGGUCGUGUACGCUGCGGAUAGCCGAAAGUAGUUUUUUUUUUUAGUUUUAAGCUCGGUUUUGAGUUUGUAUCUUUUUCUGCCCAAAAAUGUCCGCGACGCCAAGUUCAGCGGAAAAGAAACGGUCGUUCCGGGACCUCACCAAGGAGAACGUCGAGUUUGUGGACGGUAAAGCUUGCUGCAACAUCGGCGGCGGCGGCCAAGUAAAAAGAUGUAGGUACUAUCAAGAAAAGUAUGAGCCCGGAAACAUGGUGCGGCAUUUCCGCUCUCGACAUGUGCAGAUCGCCAAGGAAAAAGGCUUCUUCCGGGAAGACGCGGAAGCGCCUGAGGAGAGACCUCCAAGGCCCCCUAAGAAAAUCCAGGUUGCAAUCAAUCGGCAGAUUGUGUCAUCGGCAUGUGCCCGCCUUGUAACAGUCAACAACCUGCCUCUGUCGGCCAUUGACUGGCCGGCAAUGCAGGAUAUACUCAAGCCGCUUGCGGACGCGAUGCAUGCAGAGUCCUUUUCCACACAUAACACGAGAUGUCUGUUGAACAGCGCUGCGGAAAGGAUCCGCGGAAAAAUGGCAGAUGAGAUGCGCGGAAAAUUGAUCUGCAUAAAAAUCGAUGGCGCAUCUCGACAUGGACGUCACAUAAUUGGUAUCAACGCUCAAUUCCGGCCUCGAGAAGGCGGGGACAUCGUUAUCCGAACGCUUGGCAUGGUGGAGGUACGGGAGAAGCAAACCGGCAAGUUUUUGAAGAGUAAAAUCCUCGAAAUACUAGCCAAGUACGAGAUCGGCGUCGAACGCAUUUUUUGUGUGACGUGUGAUAACGGGGCCAAUAUGUUGGCCACCGUUCGCGAGCUGAGGAAGGAGUUCGAAAUAAUCCUCAACGGAGAGGCCAGCGACAACGAAGACGACGAAGCAGAUGAACAAGCCGCGUGGACAAUUCUACGAAGCGUUUUGCCUGAAUUUCAAGAGUCGGUGAAUCUCGUCCGAUGUGGAGUACACACACUCCAACUGGCAGUGAACGACGUCACAAAGCGUCAUGAUCAGCAUAUUCGGCGCAUUUCGGAGGUGGCGAAACAUUGCCGUAAGGUCGUUUACGCCCACAACUUCGAGCAGCGACCACUUCCGCCACUCCCCCCUCGGAAUCUAUGACAUGCUGUCAAACUUUGCAAAGGAUAAAGAUUUCUACGUGGAUAUGGGCUCGAGAUUCGAAGAACUUGAUUUGACGGACAGCUGGAGUUUCAUUCACGAUUACCUGGAAACAUUUGAACCGGUAUACUACUGCACGAAAAACAUGCAGAUGCAUCACGUCGGUCUGUCAGACUUAGUGAUGGCCUGGUUGGACGCGGCUUAUAAGGUGAGCAUGGUUGAGAGCAGCCUCGCGAAAGAGCUGUCCCAAGCUCUGGAUAGCCGAUUGCAAAUGCUGAAAAAAUGCCUGCCUCUCAAGGCGGCUCUGUUCUUGGACCCCAGAUUCCAUUACCUUGAUUCGACUCUGUUCAAAGACGACGAAAAGGCUGAGCUUCGGAAAUUCAUCAGAGAUACCUCCACGCGAAUUGCUGCUCUGUCGUCGGUCGCUGAUAAAACGCCACAAUCCGCCGAACCGAAACCCAAUCCGCGCGACGGAUUUCAAGCUUAUUUGUGCGGGAUGUUCGGAGGUCAACCCACCACCUCCAAGGCUGGCGGAAAACUCAGUCUGGACGAGUAGAUCUUAUCCUUAGAUGCUACCCUCCAGCAGCCUCACACACUUGAUGUUUGGGAAUUCUGGCAAUCGCGGAAAUCCUCCCAUCCCGAGCUGUACCAGGUGGCCUCUCUAAUUUUUAGUGUUCCAUCCAAUCAGGUCUCAGUUGAGCGUGCCUUCAGUGCGCUGCGCCUUGUGUUGGCUGAUCAACGCACCUCCCUUGGCGAAGAAACAUUCGAGAUUAUUUUGAUCCUAAAGCUCAAUGUACAGCUUUUCAACGAGGUUCUAGUUGAGCUGACCAGUGACGUGAAAGACGAGUGAAGGCAAAAUUGCACAUUUUCCUACUUUGAAUUGUUUUUUUCCGACUUUGAAUUGCUUUAUUUGCCGUUAUUACUUUGUUUUUUCAUCGCCGUCAUCUAUAAACCAGAAAUAAAUCAUUGAAUUCCAGCUAUAGUCGUAAAUUUUUUUUCCCAUAAUAAUGCAUGGGCAUUGUUUGGCCUAGCCCAGUACAUGUUUUAAAAAUAAUAAUGUUGAGAAAAACCUUACCUGUUGGAAAAUAUUCCUAAAACUAAUUGAAAUCCUAUCAAAGUCACCCCGGUUAACGGUAUUCAAAAGACCUUCCCAAUGAGCCUAAAACAUCGAUGAUCUGAUAAACCUAACAACAAUUAUUAGCACUUAAGUAUAAUUUAUACACUUUUUAGAGACCGGUUCGAUGAAAAUGAUGUCCAAAUCCAUCAUGCAACACGUCGUUAGUUGGAUAAUUCAACACUUUCACUGAAUAGUGAAAGCUACAAUAUUUCAUUAAUCAUUCC